UCGAUCUGUUCAAAUUCAACAAAAUGCGUAAAGUUUCAAAACGAUGUUGAAAUAUUCAAAAUAAAUGAGUCUUGGAAAAUCCAUGUACAAAAGUGCUGUUUAAAAUCCGAAGAUGAUCAGGCCAAAAGACGCAUAAAACAAAGAAACUUCUAAGAUGGCAUCAGUAAGAAAAAUAAAACAAACUCGUUUAUUUUUUAAUUUUAAUGAUAUUUUAGUUGUUUAUUAUGUUUGAAUUGAAAUUACAAGAGGAUUUCCUUAAAAAGAUGAUAUUGCUUAAUUAAAACUAAAAAAAAAAACAUUAAAGAACACAAAAAAUCUAAGGAAUUAUCUUAAAACCUCACAACUAAACCAAAAUAGAAAAAAUAAAAUGGAGAUUGCAAUGAGACAAAAUGUAAUAAAUAAACACAUGUUAAAAAAAAUGAGAAUACUAAAAGAAAA